rnacentral:rRNA from 1 species
CUACGGGCUGCUCCAGUGGGGAAUAUUGGACAAUGGGGGAAACCCUGAUCCAGCAAUGCCGCGUGUGUGAAGAAGGCCUGCGGGUUGUAAAGCACUUUCGGUUGGGAGGACUGCUUCUAGCACUAAUAUUGUUGGAAGUUGACGUUACCUUCAGAAGAAGCACCGGCUAACUCCGUGCCAGCAGCCGCGGUAAUGACGGAGGGUGCAAGCGUGAAUCGGAAUUACUGGGCGUAAAGCGCGCGAGGCGGCUAGAUCAGUCGGGUGUGAAAGCCCCGGGCUUAACCUGGGAACUGCAUCCGAUACUGUCUAGCUUGAGUACAGGGGAGGAGAGUGGAAUUCCAAAGGUAGCGGUGAAAUGCGUAGAUAUGUGGAGGAACACCAAUGGCGAAGGCAGCUCUCUGGCCUGAGACUGACGCUGAGAUGCGAAAGCGUGGGGAGCAAACAGGAUUAGAUACCCUGGUAGUC